rnacentral:rRNA from 1 species
CAGUCGCCACGGUAAUACGUAGGUGGCAAGCGUUGUCCGGAAUUAUUGGGCGUAAAGGGCUCGCAGGCGGUUUCUUAAGUCUGAUGUGAAAGCCCCCGGCUCAACCGGGGAGGGUCAUUGGAAACUGGGAAACUUGAGUGCAGAAGAGGAGAGUGGAAUUCCACGUGUAGCGGUGAAAUGCGUAGAGAUGUGGAGGAACACCAGUGGCGAAGGCGACUCUCUGGUCUGUAACUGACGCUGAGGAGCGAAAGCGUGGGGAGCAAACAGGAUUAGAUACCCCCGUAGUCCCUGUCUCUUAUAC